AUGCGCGAGUGCUGCGCGUGGGCCGAUGGUGAUGAGAAGGCGGUGACAUUGGUGGAGUCGGAGGGCGAAGACCAUGGCUUCCACCUGUACAACCCACUGCGGGCGACCAGCAAGGUUCUCAUGGAGAGCAUAGUGCAGUUCAUCAACCAGCGCACCUCAUUGCCACUGCCGGCCGCUCUGCUGCCGGAGCUGCAUGCAUACGGUGGUAAGAAGAUGGACCCAUGCUGCUUGCCUAUUCUGGGCGUGCCUGCUCGGCCGUAUAUGGACGUGUUUGGUUAUGGGGUGGCCAUGAAAGCUUCGAGUGUCCCAAAAGGCAUGACACGUACUAGUUGCUUACACGGCGGACAGGGGAGAAGAGCAUCCAAAACUAGAUAUGGGUUAUCUUUGGGCUAUGCUACCAGGCUUAAUAACAAGACCAACACGAGGUUCUCCUUAUCAGCAACAGCAACACCGGGGACUUGUGUUUCUCACAACUUCAUCUAG
rnacentral:rRNA from 1 species